UACGUAGGGGGCAAGCGUUGUCCGGAUUUAUUGGGCGUAAAGAGCGUGUAGGCGGUUAGGUAGGUCCGUUGUGAAAACUCGAGGCUCAACCUCAAGACGCCGAUGGAAACCAUCUGACUAGAGUCCGGAAGAGGAGAGUGGAAUUCCUGGUGUAGCGGUGAAAUGCGCAGAUAUCAGGAAGAACACCCGUGGCUAAGGCGGUUCUCUAGUACGGUACUGACGCUGAGACGCGAAAGCGUGGGGAGCGAACAGG
rnacentral:rRNA from 1 species